rnacentral:misc_RNA from 1 species
ACGAGUUAGGGUCCGUCUAGGGCCCGACCUCCCAACCCUUUGUCUAUCAAACCUUGUGUUGCUUCGGCAGGCCUGGUUCACUCCUGCCGGGGGCCGUCAAACGUCCUCUGGAGAGCGCCUGCCGGUAGCCCAAACCACAUCACUCUGAACCAAACGUGUCUUGUCUGAGUGUAACUUUGCAAAUAAAAGCA